GCAGCAUGGAGGUUUACAUUUAUUGACCAAAUGUAUGUUAUGUUAGGUUGACGUUUUUUUCAACUGAGACCAAUUGCAUGCAAUCUCAUCAGAAAUAAUUAUGGUUCACGGCACUUUUCACCAACAUGCAUGUGGCUUUUUUUAACCAAGCUAGAUUUUUUUAAAUAAAUAAGGUCGUUAGUUUUCUCGCUUGAAUUUUUUUACAUUUUCAUUUCGGG
rnacentral:lncRNA from 1 species